GAGAUCGGGAUAACACCUGGAAACAGAUGCUAAUACCGGAUAACAACAGAUGAUGCCUAUCAACUGUUUAAAAGAUGGUUCUGCUAUCACUCUUGGAUGGACCUGCGGUGCAUUAGCUAGUUGGUAGGGUAACGGCCUACCAAGGCGAUGAUGCAUAGCCGAGUUGAGAGACUGAUCGGCCACACUGGGACUGAGACACGGCCCAAACUCCUACGGGAGGCAGCAGUG
rnacentral:rRNA from 1 species